rnacentral:rRNA from 1 species
GUGGGGAAUAUUGGACAAUGGGCGAAAGCCUGAUCCAGCAACGCCGCGUGAGGGAUGACGGCCUUCGGGUUGUAAACCUCUUUCAGCAGGGACGAAGCGAAAGUGACGGUACCUGCAGAAGAAGGACCGGCCAACUACGUGCCAGCAGCCGCGGUAAUACGUAGGGUCCGAGCGUUGUCCGGAAUUAUUGGGCGUAAAGGGCUCGUAGGCGGUUUGUCGCGUCGGGAGUGAAAACUCAGGGCUCAACCCUGAGCGUGCUUACGAUACGGGCAAACUAGAGGUAUGCAGGGGAGAACGGAAUUCCUGGUGUAGCGGUGGAAUGCGCAGAUAUCAGGAGGAACACCGGUGGCGAAGGCGGUUCUCUGGGCAUUACCUGACGCUGAGGAGCGAAAGCAUGGGGAGCGAACAGGAUUAGAUACCCCUGUAGUCC